GAACUAUGAACUGUCACCAAAGAAAGUGGCUGCAAUCUUUCUAUAAAAAACUACACUUAUCAGCAAAAUUAUCAUCAACUCAAUAAAAAUAGGUAAUACUCUAUUGUUAUCUGCUAUCAUUACUGCAUAGUUAUCUUUGUGGUCAUAUCCAUACUGCAGGUUUAACAGGUAAACUCAGUAACAAGUACUUCCUAUUCCUAAUCAACUGCCUGCGACAAGUGUGGUGAUGCCUAGGCUAUCCAAUGUGCUAUUAUUUUUAUGUGUACAGUAUUUCUGCAAGCAGUAAUUAUUCAGAUUUAUAUUGAAAACUAAGUAUAUACUGUGUGAUACUGAGUGAGAAACCUUAAGCUUGUUAUGUGGCGUUAGAAUCCUUGUAUCUCGCACAUAGGGUCAUUGGUACCUCACAACUGGAACUGCUGCUACUACUGAGAUUUCCAGAGGCUCUUUCGUACGAGAAGUGCCUUGGCAGAUAACUUUCACAGUGCAUAAAAACAAUGAAAUUAUGAAAUUAUUGGAAGCCAAAGUUGUUGUUCUCGGUCAACAAGAUCCGUUGGGAAUUAAUGCAGAGGUAUGGGAAGAUGUAUAAAUAUUGAAGACUGAAUGGAUCUUCUACUUUCAUAAAUCAUGUAUGGAAAAAUUAGGAAACCUGUCAACCAUUGAAAAAAUGGAAAUACAGGAACGGAUAACAAAUAGAUCUUGACGUGAUUCAAGGAUUGCUCGGUGAUAAAAUCGAGAUGGGAUGCUGAAUCGAUCAAGAUCUCGCAUCAAAAGAAAUGGACUAGAAAAUGAAUUAUGCAAGGAUGUACAGCUAGCAACUACUCAAUCCUAAAUGCCAAAAAUAAUAAAUGUAAUAUUUGUAAUGAUAAUGAGCUAUUUAUCAACAUUUAUAUGGUUUCUUUCUGUUUUAGAAUUCUCAACUUUAAGCUGUUUCAUUUCUGAGCAAACCUGAAUGUUGAAAUUGGUAUGCAGUAGUUGGGACAUCAGUUUGGAAGGGAUGGAUAAAAAGUAAAAGUUGGAAAAGGCCAUAAGUAGGGGGGGGGGGAAGCAGAUGAAUGGAGAAGAAAACAUGAAUACCAUUGCUAUGCUGGCAAAUGCUCUAAUGAUACCAGUAAACUAAAUUCACUGAAAAUAUUACUGAACAGAUUCGGUAGAGUUCUGCUCUCUAUAGAUUUAACAGCUCAAAAUGAAAUCAGAGUACAGUAACUGCAACUGAUAUAGUAAAUUUUUAAAAUGUCAUUUGUGCUAAAUUACUGUGUAUAUAUAAUUUUUUAUUAUAGGGUUAUUUUCUCUUUGAACAUUUGUGUUUAUCAUGCUCUUAAAAUCGUUUAUUCAUAACUCAAUUUACAUAUGCAAUACUGAUUUAAGACUAACAAACUUUUGUAAAUAUAUCUCAAUGUCAUAUCAUACUGUGUGUAUAUUCUGUAUUAUUUAUGUCCUUUGAUUAUUAUAUGUAUGUAAUUUUGCAUUAGGAAGAAUUUUACUUUUAUUUCAUUUUCAAAGUGACAAUAAAAGGAUCUUGUAUCUUGCUACGACUUUCUUGUUGCUUUGCAUGUAUGAUGUAUACAGUAUAUUGUGGAUUACUUUCUUUUCUCCCAUUUUGAUAUAUGCUAUUUUUGAUCUGUUUAAAUUUACUACACUUUUGUUUAUAAUCUUGAAUUACUUUAUUAGGUAAACUGGACCAUUUUCAGUGGUGAAUCCAGGAGGGGCCUAGGGUGGGACUUUCAGAGAUAGAGGGUCAACCUACUUCAGCCCCACCAUGGUUGGGGCUAAGUUAAGAAAAACUAUGGUUAUGGCACCUCUAAUUGCAUUGUCAGGUUUAAAGGUUAAUAAUAAUUUUUUUUUUCUCCAUUUCCUUUUACAAUUUUGACAAAUUUAUUGAGGGACCAGGUCAAAGUGUGACAGGGCUAUAAUAUUAUGACUUUGUUAUUAGUUUUCAAUCUUAAAUUAGAAAAGACAUUAUCUUUGUCAAUGAACAAGGUAGGCAUAAUAAUAAUACCAUAAUAUUGAUGUUGUCAUGAACAUCCUUUAAAUUCAAAAUCAAAAGUUUUGUAGCAAAAAAAUUUAUAACUCAGGGCGAUAUAAAAUUAAUUAAAGCCUUAAAAUGAGAAAAAUUAAGAUGUAAAAUGUAGGAUUAAGCUAUGGAGUUAUUAUAGUACUGUAUAUUGUCUUGUGUUGAAUGAGAAAUUUUAUGGGAAAAGUGAGAAAAGUAACCCAACGGCAAUAUGAAUCUAUAUCCUAAAUGGCACUAUUCAAGUACAAUGAAUGAUAAUAACCUUCAAGUUUAAAGUAUUCUGCACUCUAAACGAGGGGCUUAGAUCUCAGCUCAACUACAAAUGAUGUGAUUAUUCUACCAUGCUAUGCAUCUCAUCCACAUUAAAAAUCAGCAUUUGAAUUAAUAAUUAUAAACGUACUUAAAAAUUGUUGGGUUGUUUGCAUCAUGCACCAAGGUCAGCUAUUUAUCAUUUACCUGCUGAAGAAACAUCGUCAUUCACAAAAAUUUGAAUUUUAGAUUCUUCCUCAUUGCAGAACCCAUCAGACAAUCUACAUUAUUAACAGUGGUGUACAUAGGGUAUUGACAUGGGGCUAAUAAUGGGGAGGAGCAAAAAGGUUAAGCUGGGAGAGGGGAAGGGGAAGUUAGGUGUGGGGUUGCUAGCUGGAAAAAUAAGAUGAUUUCAAACAAUUCCCCAAAUAUAAACAUGCCCCCAAAUGCACCUCCAAAAUCAACCCAAUUUCCUGUUGAAUGCAUUACACAAUAGUUGGCUAUGAAACAAACAACAGAGGGCAGCAUACUAGAAAAUAUUUUCUGGGGAACUUUGGAUUUCAAAAUGGGCAACCAGGAAAUCAAGUUUCUUCUGUCAACUCUUCAGGGUAAACAUAUUUUUUAUUUGGUAUUCAAUCUACAGUACAUUCUAUCUAUAAAUAAAUGACAUACUGUGUGAAAAAUACACAAAAACUGAAUUUAUUAAAGCAUUCAGUGAUGAAGUGUUCAUGAAAAAAAAAAAAAUUUUUCAAACAUAUUUAUACUCACAAUCUGUAACAUCCAAAAAUAUGUGAUUUUAGGAAUGAUCUAAGUGUUAGUUUCAUUAUUUUGUAAGUAUUGCUAUUACUAAUUAAAGUAAACAAUUAUUUUGGUAAAUACUUGUAAAUAAGCAAUUUAUUGGUUAAUUUUUUAAAGUUAUUUCUAGAUUUUUGUUUUAUUGUGGUAAUACAAUAUUAUUUAAUUAACAAUUUGACUGGUCAAUAAACAUUUCAAAUUGUAAGGCACCCACAUUUAGUGCGAUACCUAUCAAUAUGCUAGGCAAUAUAGAAAGCUUUUAACGACUUAUGUCCUUAUAUAAUAAACAAUACAGCAGUA